rnacentral:rRNA from 1 species
AUGAGGCUCAAGAAGGAAAAGGAUGGAAUAUUUGUCGUAAAAGAGAUAGUCUGGGAACACAACCACAGGCUACAGCUCACCGCAGAAAUGCUUGUCUUCUUGCACUCCCACAAAAACUUUGACAAGACAAUCUUGGAGUACGUCAAGUACCUGCAGUUCAAGGGCAUUGAACACGCGCAAAUCAUGAGCAUACUAGGCGGUGAUGACCCUGGUAGCUACUUCCUCGAAAUGAAUGCCAAAGACCUGAUUAACCUCUAA